UAGGGGUGAGCAAAGACCCAGGGUACCCGGUACCGGACCCGGAACCGGUUAGGAUCCGCCGGGUCCGGACCCGGAACUGGUCCCACCGGUUCCGGGACCGGGUCCAAAAUGUCGGACCCGGUUGUAACCGGUUCCGGGACCGGGUCCUAAAAUUUCGGACCCGGUACCCACUGGGUACCCGGUUUAAACCAAUUCCAGUUCCGGGUACCCGGUCCCGGAUCCAGACAAUCCGGGUACCCGGAACCGGUACUGAUUUAGUUAUAAAAAUUUUUUUUGUUUUUUUAAAAAACCCAACAAUUAUGGCCCAAUAUUCCAGAUUUUACCCUAAGUAUAUAAAGCAAAAAAAAAAAAAACCCUAUUCUAUCCUCUCACUUUCUCACCCUACUCUGCUUCUCUGCUACAGUGGUACUCACCACUCUCACACUCUCGCUCUCCUCUUGACUGUCGAGUGUCGACCACCGUUCACCGUCGAGCGUUCACUUCUUAAUUCCUCCAAAGGUAAUUUUUAAACUUUGCAUAUCAAAUUAUCAAUUGCGAAUUUGCGAUUAUGUAUUUAUUCGGUUUAGAUCUGAAAAACGAAAGCUAAUUUUUAGGGUUUUAAUCAUGAAUAGUGUUAAUUAUGAAAAUUACUAUUAAAGAUGAGUUUGAAUCAUGAUAAAAUUACAAAUUACAAGUACAAAUUAGUUAAACAUUCAGAUUUGUUCCUUCCCUUGAAUUCUCUAGUAUUUUGGGUGAAUAUAAACUCGAUUGUGUUGAUUGUGCUUCUUCCCUUUCGUUUUAACUUAUGUUUUUUUUUUAUAAAAAUCAUAUUAUCGAAGAAGAAUCGUGGGGUUUAAUACUUUAAUGGGUUUAAUCGUUUAUUCUCAGAUUUCGCAAGUUUAAUGGUUUUUAUUCUGUUUAUUUUGCUAUUUUUUAGGCAUUUUUAUUGCGUAAUCUAUUGAAUUACUGAUCUUUCAGUUUCUAGGUUUUACUUUGAUAUGUUGUGAUGUUGUCAUUGUGUCAAGUGUCUUGAUCUGUUUAGUCUCAAGGUUUAAUGUAUUGAUGUUGUUCUGCUUCUUUGCAUUGCUGUUGUGUUGGUGUCAAGUUUCAUGAAUUGAUUUAGUUUAUGGGUUUAAGCUAUUUCUUGUUUUAUUGAGCUGGUCUUUUCUGAAAUUUGUAGUUGUGGAGAAAGAUGUAGAUGGUGAUGCAUGUGCAGGAACUACAGUUGGAUUUCUAUGUAGAAUUCUGCUUGUUUAAAAGGUUUUUAUAGAGGAGAAAGUGUUUCAACAACUAAAGGAACCUUCUUUUCAUAAGAUUAAUUACCAUUUUUUCUUUAUUAAGUUCCAAUUCCUUUUUGUAUUCUUCAUGAAGAUGAUGUACUAGGAUCUGUGCAUAUUGUCUCUCCUUUCUUUCUUUGUGUUUAUGUGAGUGAGACAAUAUCAGUUCUGACUGUUGUAUGUAUUUGUGUAAUGCAUAUAAUCACUCUCACUUUGUGUAAUGUUUAUGUCUUAUUAAAGUUUAAUUUGUUCCUAUUUCAGAACUAUGAGCAAUACCGACAAUUCGUCAGUCCCUAUGGAUGAUGAAAGUGAGGUUGGAAACGAGAAUGCAACAACCAAAUCAACCAAGGUUGGUGACAAGAGGAAGUCUGAAUACUGGAACCAUUUUUGGGAUUUUAGAGAUCCAGUAACCAAAAAAAUUGUUCAAGUCAAAUGCAAAUAUUGUGAGAAAAUGCUAACAGGGAAUUUGUGCUUCCUUGUUGGCUGCUGCCUCUUUGCUUUGUUGUCUGCUGUAUGCUGUCUUUCUCCGUUGCUUAGAUGGUUGCUGACUUGCUGCUGGUCUUGUUGCUGGCUGAUGGUGUGCUCAGCUGCUGCCUGCUGAUGGUGUGCUCAGCUGCUGCAGUGCUGCCUGUUGCUGCCCUUCCUUUUCUUCCCUUUUUUUUUCUGAACUUUUAUUUAAGUAGUUGUUUUGGUUAUGUUUGGAUGUUUGGACUUUGCAGCAUUGUUGAAGUUUGUUGUACUGAUAUUUUAGGUUGUUGAAUUGGUACUUUUUGGCUUAUUAGUUUGUAAUAUUUGUAUUUUGAAAUAUUUGUAUUUUGCUAGCCUCCAAAACUAAUUUAGGGAUAUUAUUAUGUUAA